rnacentral:rRNA from 1 species
UACGUAGGGGGGCAAGCGUUGUCCGGAUUCAUUGGGCGUAAAGAGCGUGUAGGCGGCCAGGUAGGUCGGUUGUGAAAACUGGAGGCUCAACCUCGAGACGUCGAUGGAAACCAUCUGGCUAGAGUCCGGAAGAGGAGAGUGGAAUUCCUGGUGUAGCGGUGAAAUGCGCAGAUAUCAGGAGGAACACCAAUUGCGAAGGCAGCUCGCUGGGACGUUACUGACGCUGAGACGCGAAAGCGUGGGGAGCAAACAGG